rnacentral:rRNA from 1 species
ACGGAGGAUGCGAGCGUUAUCCGGAUUUAUUGGGUUUAAAGGGUGCGUAGGUGGACUGUUUAGUCAGUGGUGAAAUGCUGAUGCUCAACGUUAGCAUUGCCGUUGAAACUGACAGUCUUGAGAGUGAUUGAGGCAGGCGGAAUGUGUGGUGUGGCGGAAAAAUCCACAGAUCUCACAAAGAACCCAGAUGGCGAGGGCAUCUUGCAAAGCCACAACUGACACUGAAGCACGAAAGCGUGGGGAUCAAACAG